rnacentral:misc_RNA from 1 species
UAUGAAGAACGUAGCGAAAUGCGAUAAGUAAUGUGAAUUGCAGAAUUCAGUGAAUCAUCGAAUCUUUGAACGCACAUUGCGCCCUCUGGUAUUCCGGGGGGCAUGCCUGUUCGAGCGUCAUUAUAACCACUCAAGCUCUCGCUUGGUAUUGGGGUUCGCGGUUCCGCGGCCCCUAAAAUCAGUGGCGGUGCCUGUCGGCUCUACGCGUAGUAAUACUCCUCGCGAUUGAGUCCGGUAGGUCUACUUGCCAGCAACCCCCAAUUUUUACAGGUUGACCUCGGAUCAGGUAGGGAUACCCGCUGAACUUAAGCAUAUCAAUAAGCGGAGGA